GACGAACGCUGGCGGCGUGCCUAAUACAUGCAAGUAGAACGCUGAAGGAGGAGCUUGCUUCUCCGGAUGAGUUGCGAACGGGUGAGUAACGCGUAGGUAACCUGCCUGGUAGCGGGGGAUAACUAUUGGAAACGAUAGCUAAUACCGCAUAACAGUAGAUGUUGCAUGACAUUUGCUUAAAAGGUGCAAUUGCACCACUACCAGAUGGACCUGCGUUGUAUUAGCUAGUUGGUGGGGUAACGGCUCACCAAGGCGACGAUACAUAGCCGACCUGAGAGGGUGAUCGGCCACACUGGGACUGAGACACGGCCCAGACUCCUACGGGAGGCAGCAGUAGGGAAUCUUCGGCAAUGGACGGAAGUCUGACCGAGCAGCGCCGCGUGAGUGAAGAAGGUUUUCGGAUCGUAAAGCUCUGUUGUAAGAGAAGAACGAGUGUGAGAGUGGAAAGUUCACACUGUGACGGUAUCUUACCAGAAAGGGACGGCUAACUACGUGCCAGCAGCCGCGGUAAUACGUAGGUCCCGAGCGUUGUCCGGAUUUAUUGGGCGUAAAGCGAGCGCAGGCGGUUAGAUAAGUCUGAAGUUAAAGGCUGUGGCUUAACCAUAGUACGCUUUGGAAACUGUUUAACUUGAGUGCAAGAGGGGAGAGUGGAAUUCCAUGUGUAGCGGUGAAAUGCGUAGAUAUAUGGAGGAACACCGGUGGCGAAAGCGGCUCUCUGGCUUGUAACUGACGCUGAGGCUCGAAAGCGUGGGGAGCAAAC
rnacentral:rRNA from 1 species